ACAUCGCUCUUGUACCCCUUAUGUAAGAGGUCCCGCCUGCCCUGUGACUCUGAGUUUNACGGCCGCGGUAUUUUGACCGUGCAAAGGUAGCGCAAUCACUUGUCUUUUAAAUGAAGACCUGUAUGAAUGGCAUAACGAGGGCUUAACUGUCUCCUUUUUCCAGUCAAUGAAAUUGAUCUCCCCGUGCAGAAGCGGGGAUUAAAACAUAAGACGAGAAGACCCUAUGGAGCUUUAGACACCAGAACAGCCCAUGUCAAGCACCCCCUAAAUAAGAGACAAAACUAAUUGGCCCCUGUCCUAAUGUCUUUGGUUGGGGCGACCGCGGGGAAAUAAAAACCCCCCAUGUGGACCGGGAGCACACUUACUCCCACAACCCAGAGCUACAACUCCAAGCAACAGAACUUCUGACCAACAAGAUCCGGCACACAGCCGAUCAACGGACCGAGUUACCCUAGGGAUAACAGCGCAAUCCUCUUUUAGAGCCCAUAUCGACAAGAGGGUUUACGACCUCGAUGUUGGAUCAGGACAUCCUAAUGGU
rnacentral:rRNA from 1 species